rnacentral:rRNA from 1 species
GGUGAUUUUCGAGCUCCAAUACAGCGCCGCGCUAACGUGCGUGAAUUGUUUCGUCGGAUGUAUAAUCCCCGGGCUCACCUGGGAACUGCAUCUGAUACUGGCAAGCUUGAGUCUCGUAGAGGGGGGUAGAAUUCCAGGUGUAGCGGUGAAAUGCGUAGAGAUCUGGAGGAAUACCGGUGGCGAAGGCGGCCCCCUGGACGAAGACUGACGCUCAGGUGCGAAAGCGUGGGGAGCAAACAGGAUUAGAUACCCUGGUAGUCCACGCCGUAAACGAUGUCGACUUGGAGGUUGUGCCCUUGAGGCGUGGCUUCCGGAGCUAACGCGUUAAGUCGACCGCCUGGGGAGUACGGCCGCAAGGUUAAAACUCAAAUGAAUUGACGGGGGCCCGCACAAGCGGUGGAGCAUGUGGUUUAAUUCGAUGCAACGCGAAGAACCUUACCUGGUCUUGACAUCCACAGAACUUUCCAGAGAUGGAUUGGUGCCUUCGGGAACUGUGAGACAGGUGCUGCAUGGCUGUCGUCAGCUCGUGUUGUGAAAUGUUGGUUAAGUCCCGCAACGAGCGCACCCUUAUCUUUGUUGCCAGCGGUCCGGCGGGAAUCAAGGAGACUGCCAGUGAUAACUGGAGGAAGGUGGGAUGACGUCAGUCAUCAUGGCCCUUACGACAGGGCUACACAGUGCUACAAUGGCGCAACAAGAGAAGCGACCUCGCAGAACAAGGGACCUAUAAGUGCGUCGUAUCCGGAUGGAAUCUGCACUCGACUCCAUGAGUCGGAUCGCUAGUAAUCGUAGAUCAAAUGCACGGUGAUACUCCCCCGGUAUAUAA